GAUGAACGCUAGCGGCAGGCCUAACACAUGCAAGUCGAGGGGUAACAGAGAGAAGCUUGCUUUUCUGCUGACGACCGGCGCACGGGUGCGUAACGCGUAUACAAUCUGCCUUAUACAGAGGGAUAGCCUUUAGAAAUGAAGAUUAAUACCUUAUAGUCUAUUUUUAUAGCAUUAUAUAAAUAGUAAAGCUUCGGUGGUAUAAGAUGAGUAUGCGUCCUAUUAGUUAGUUGGUAAGGUAACGGCUUACCAAGACAACGAUAGGUAGGGGCCCUGAGAGGGGGAUCCCCCACACUGGUACUGAGACACGGACCAGACUCCUACGGGAGGCAGCAGUGAGGAAUAUUGGACAA
rnacentral:rRNA from 1 species